ACCUCCUGAGGUGAGAUAGCUCAGCUGGUAGAGCAUGAGAUUUUUAAUCUCAGGGCUGUCUGUCCGAGCCCUACACUGGGCA